AACCAAAUGUCAUGAAAAGAGGAAAAGCAGGUUUAGGAGGAGUCAAGGAGUGGGAGAGAUUGAAAGGCCAGUUCAGAGCUCAGGAUAUUGGAGGUGGAGCAAUUUUGGAGUCUAAGUGCUAACUUCCUUGGUUCACAGUUCCAGAAAUGGGACCAAUCAAUCAAAAGGAUGAAGAUAAGAGAGAAGUACUUUUUUCCUUUGACCUCACAAGGAAAUGUUGCUAGGCUCCUGCUCUUCUCAGUGGGGAGAAUCAUGUCUGUUCAGCAGUAGGAGCUGCUUGGAUGCUGGACGCUGCAGCUGAUAGGAAGCAGUCAGAAGAUUUGAAUGGAGAGAAGAGGUACCAAGGGAGGACUCCAUCAUGCUUGCUUGAAGCAGGACCACUCUAAGCUCUCAUGUACUUGGCUGGAAAGUUGACUGAGCAAGUUCUAGGAGGAUUGUCCUAGAGGAAUGAUACAGCGAGAUUUUAAUUAUGUCAUUUAAUUUUUCCAACUAACAAAAAUUUAUUU